CUUGACUUUCCUGACCAAUCGUAGAAGAGUCUCCUUUGAAAUUGCAGGAGAAUUAACGAAUCAGAGAGCGUGCCAGUCGGGGUCCAAGCCGCCCUUACCAGUUAACUAGGUCGGCCCCCUUUCAGCCUCUGUCUCAGUUAGCGUCGCUCCUGCGGGGACGCGUCCACUGUGGAGGCCAGUUCGUUCUCGCCGGAGAAGGCCCUGGUCUGCCUCUCUGGCCUCUCCGCAGUCUCGGCGGCUACCUAUCGAUUUACCUUGGGGCGCCGCCGCCAAGGUUUGGAUCCAGCAUCUACUGCUGUUGCCACUACUAGGUCAAGCACCAUGCUGUUUACCUCAUUUUCAAAUGCUUCAUCCUCCACUGCUGCUACUGGGAUCUCAUUUGGUUCCCCGACAACUUCGACUGGAACACUUGGUGGUACAACUUUGGGAUUUGGAUUAAAAUUCCCUGGAGCCGGUGGAGCAAUGCCUGUUGCAUCUACUACAACAUCAACUACCACUACCACCACUGUCACCACCACUACCACCACUACCAUCACCAGUGGAUUUACCUUGAACAUAAAACCACUGACAUCAACUGGGAUUGAUAACACUGUUCCAGUCGGCAUUACUUCUAUACCUUUUACUUCGACUGUUAAUGCAAUCAUAACUCCUGUGAUGACAUAUGGUCAGCUGGAUGGUCUGGUAAACAAAUGGAGCCUUGAGUUAGAGGAUCAAGAGAAACACUUUCUUCACCAGGCCACCCAGGUCAAUGUUUGGGACAAUACUUUGAUUGAGAAUGGUGAGAAGAUUACUGCUUUGCAUGGAGAAGUAGAAAAAGUGAAACUGGAUCAGAAAAGGCUGGAAAAAGAAUUGGAUUUUAUCCUGUCACAGCAGAAGGAAUUGGAAGAUCUCUUGAUCCCUUUGGAGGAGUCUGUUAAGGACCAGAAUGGGUCUGUGUAUCUGCAGCACACAGAUGAGCGUGAGAGCACUUACAAGUUAGCUGAAAAUAUAGAUGCUCAGCUGAAACGAAUGGCACAAGAUCUCAAGGACAUUAUUGAGCACCUGAAUACCUUUGGAAGUCCUGCUGACACUACUGAGCCGCUCCAGCAGAUCUGCAAAAUUCUGAAUGCUCAUAUGGAUUCUCUGCAAUGGAUUAAUCAGACAUCAGACACACCUGCCAUAUAUAGAAGUUUCCAGGCUAAGGGUUGAAUCAGAGCUGCAGCUGCCAGCCUGCACCACAACCAUGGCAGUGCUAAAUCUGACCACAUGUGCAACUUAUGCUGCAGCUUGUGGCAAUGCCAGAUCCUUAGCCCACUAAGCAAGGCCAGUGAUCAAACCGGCAUCAUCAUGGACGCUGUGUUGGGUUCUUAACCCGCUGAGCCACAACAGAAUUCCAGGCCUCUGUUUUAGAAGAGUUUGUGAAGAAUUGGUAUUGAUUUGUCUUUAGAUAUUUAGUAGAAUUCUCCAGUGAAACCAUCUGAGCCUGAAUAUUUCUCUUCUGGGAACUUUUUAAUUACUAAGUUAAUUUUUUUCAUGCUUCUGGACUAGAUUAUUCAUAUUAUCUUGGUUGAGUUUUCUUAAUUUGUGGUGUAUUUCUACUGUCAUUUAAUUUAUAGGCAUAAAGUUGUUCAUAGAAAUAUUAUCCUUUUAAUGGCUACAGGUUCUGUCAUGAUAUACCCUCUUUUAUUCCUUAUAUUGAUGAUUUGUGUUCUCAAUUUUUUUUCCUGUCUUGGUACAGAGGUUUUUGUCUCGUUAUUGAGGUUUAUCAAUUUAUUGAUGUUUUUUUUUUCUGAAGAACUAGCCUUUUUGGUUUCCUUGCUUUUUCUCAAUAGUGUUCCUUUUUUUUCAAUUUCUGUGAAAACUACUCUUUAAUAUUUCCUUCUAUCUCCUUGCUUUGGGUUCAUUUUACUCUUUUUCAGUUUUCUUAAGUUAGGAACUUAGAUUUUUGGUUUGAGACCUCUCCUUGUCUCUAAAAGUAUUCUCUUUCAAGGGCUUCCUGAUAAUCGGCAUUUUUGAAACCUUGGUUGUCAUCUCUAAUCAUCAAUUUCACUAAUGCUUCUCUAUCUGUUCUAAAGCUCCAUGUUAACAAAUAUCUGCACAUAGGAUAUGCCAAAAGCACCUCAAAUUAAAUUUGUAUAAGUUUAUCAUUAUCUUCACUCUCUCCUGGGCCUCCCAGAUCUGUAACUCCUUCAACUUUUCUUUUUCUCAGCUGAUUGCUACUAUUUAUUCAGAGACUUAAGAUAGGCUGUUUCAAUUUCUUUAGUAAGUGAUUAUGAUUAUACUUUUUAAGUAGCUCUUGAAUCUUUUCUUUUCAGUAGAUAACUGCCACUGCUUUAUUUCAGAUCUUCGUCCUCUCCUACUUUGAAAGUGGAAUAGUUUUAUAUCAUUUAUGAAAAAUAUCAGUUCCUUGUCCAUACCCCAUUUCCUACUCCCCAGAAGCAUAUUCAUUAUUUUAGCUAUUUUUUUAAAAAAAAGCAAAAUAUAAGUAUCUCUAAAAACCAUGUAUACUACUACUUUUUAGUUUUUCCAUUAUAGGCCUUCUGUACUGACUUCCCAAAAUAAGAGGUGAGGGUUUAACUCUUUUAUACCACUUUCUUUCUUUCUUUCUUUCCUUCUUUCUCUCUCUCUCUUCCUUCCUCCCUUCCUCCCCUCACCACUCCCUUCCUUCCUUCUUUCAUGUCUUUCUUUCUAUUUAUCUAUCUAUAAUAUACAUAAUACAUGCAUACAAUAUACAAAUAUAUAUAAUUAUGCAAUUCAUAUAAUAUAUAUACCACCAUACCACCCUCAUUUUUUUUUACGGCCGCACCCACAUCACAUGGAAGUUCCCAGGCUAGGGGCUGAACUGGAGCUGCAGCUGCCAGCCUAUGCCACAGACACAGCAACACGGGCUCUGAGCCACAUCUGUGACCUACACCACAGCUCAUGGCAAUGCCAGAUCCUUAACCCACUAAGUAAAGCCAGGGAUCGUACCCGCAUCCUUGUGGAUACUGUCGGGUUCAUUACCAGUGAGCUGCAGUGAGAACUCCUGAAAAGAUCUUUAAUCUACCCUCACACUUAAUGGAUAAUAUUGAACGUCAAAUUCUAGCUUGGAAAUAAUUUUCUCUUAAACUUUUGGCAAUAUUAUCCAUUAUCUUCUAGUUUUGAGGGCACUUUAAUUCCUGAACUUUUUUGUUAACUCUUCAUUUUUAUGUUUUAUUUAUUCUACGGAAGUUUUAAGGAUCACAAUACUAAAAUUUCAGCUGACCUGCCUCAUUGUGGGUCUGUUUCAUCCACUGAACUGGUGUUUGGUGACCUCUUCCUGUUGGGAAAUUAAUUUCUUUCAGUUUGGGGAAAUUUCCUUCAAUUAGGAUUCUGAUAAUUUACUUUCCUAUGUAUUCUCCAUUAAGAAUAAGAAGAUUCUGGAAGUUCUUUUAUUCUGUCUGAUAUCCUAGACUGAUCUAAAUUUAUUUUCUCUAAUUUCUCUUUAUGUCUUUGUUAAAUUUUCUCAGAUAUUUACUGAACUUUUUAUUCCAGUCUUUCUAUUGAUCUUUGCUUUCUGCCAUAAUUUUUAUUUUGCAAGCAUUUGUUGUGUUGUUUUAUGAUUGUGUGUGCGCAUUAAAUAGCACCCAGUUCUUAUUUCAUGGAUUUAAUAUCCUCUCUCUGAGGAUAUUAAUGAUAUUUAAAAAUAUUUUGUUCUUCCUGGAUUGUUUCUUUCAACUUUCUUUAUCUUUCUGUUUUGUUUUGGUCUUUUGUGUGUGUGUGGUGGUUAAUUUAUUUUGGGUUUUUUUUAAUUAAAUUUUAUUCAGGUAUGGUUGAUUUACAAUGUUGUGUUCCCCCUGGUCUUUCUUAUGUUAGAAGCUUUUCUCAAAUAUGUGGUGAUCCUUGAUUGUCCAUUUAUAUUCAAGAAUGAGACACCAAAUUGUGGAUGGGGCUUAUUUACUAACUUGGUAUAAAGUAGCUUGGCAAAAACUUUUGAUUGGGAAUUUUUAGGAUUUUUUUACCUUUAGGAUUUUUCUCUUUAGUUGAUCAUAUUCUCCAAAGAAGAAUUUUCUAAUUCUUGGCUAGAGAUUAAUGAAUUUAGUGGUAAGCCAGUAUUCAUAAAGCUGUUAGAGAGGGGACCAGGGGCUCAAUGUUCAUUUUGUAGACUUUUACUUAAUCUCUUGCAAGCUUUAAAUCCCUGUUUUUGGUACAGUUUCCCUGCCCUCAGCUCUGUCUGGUAUCCCCAGUCUAGAGGUCAUCUGUUUACCCUCUCCAAGGAAAAGCCUUCUGUUGGGCUUGGGUAGGGAGAAUCACCCAGAUGCAUAGGAUGUGGUGAAAAAGAGGGGGUCUCUUUAAUCAUUCAUAUUCCUGCUUUUAGCCCCACUUUCAGCACCACUUUGGAUUACCUGUCCUGCUAAUUCCAAGUCUUUUCUACGGUUCUAGUUAAAUUUCUCAAAAUUUUGUUCUUGUCUCCUUUCUUUUGUCUUUGUCCUUGUAGUUUUAUGCUUUUAUCCUUUUCUUUUUUUAAAAGUCUCCUUACUGCUCUUUCACCAGUGUUUUGGAAUUCAGUAGCAAUAAAUUCAUAUGUUUAAAUCUUUAACCAGGAACCUCACUGAUCUCCUUUCCCCAGUGUUACCCGACUCCAAUUCACUUUUACACAACUGCCAGAAUGAUCUUGAUAUAAUGAUACUCUAUUCUAAUCAUCUCUUCAGUAGUUCCCAUUGCCCAAUGAUAAAUUGUUCCUUUGCAUAAUUUACAAACUACUCUGUAUAACCUAAUCUAACCCCUGCUGUUUUCAGCUUCAUCUUUUGUUUGCAGCAUUACUUUUUUUCAUUGAAGUAUAGUUGAUUUACAAUAUUGUGUUGGUUUCAGAAGUAUAGCAUAAUGAUUCCAGUUUUUUGCAGGUUAUAUGCCAUUAUAUGUUAUUACAAAAUAAUGGGUAUACUUCCUUGUGCUAUCCAGUAAAUCUUUGUUGCUUAUCUAUUUUAUGUGUAGUAGUUUAUAUGUGUUAAUCUCAUACCCCUAAUGUGUUCCUUCCUCCCUCCCUUUCCCCUUUGGGAACCCUAAGUUUGUUUGCAAUGCCUGUGAGUAAUAUUUUUGGUUUUCACAAACACUUAAUAUUCUUUUCUCCAUGUUUUUGGAUGUUCAGUUGAUUCUACCUGGCAUAUCCCACCCCAUCAUUGUCUGGUAGCUGCUCCCGUGCCAGACCAUCUCUUCUGUGAACCCUUCCUUGACUCAUCUUUCUAAUAGGUUAUUCUACAUAUGAUAUUAUCAGCAUCUAUCAUACACUGUUGCAGCUGUUUAUUUACAUAUUUGCCUCUCUUACUGAAAUUUGAGAUCCUUGAUGAUAGAGAGUAUAUCUUAGUUAUUUCUAUAUCUUCAGAACUUAGCAGUGUCUGACAUGAACUUGGGAGCCAGUAUAUGUUUUUAAUUUAUUUGUCCCCUGAUAUGUACAUAGCACACUGUACUCAGCUUUUUUUUUUUUUUUUUUUGUCUUUUUGCUAUUUCUUGGGCUGCUCCCGCAGCAUAUGGAGGUUCCCAGGCUAGGGGUCUAAUCGGAGCUGUAGCCUCUGGCCUACGCCAGAGCCACAGCAACGCGGGAUCCGAGCCGCGUCUGCGACCUACACCGCAGCUCACGGCAAUGCCAGUUGCUUACAGUUCCUUCCAAGUAAGUUGUACUAGUUAUAUUUUCACCACCAAUUCAUUAGGGUACUCAUCUUUCUGCACUCCUUUUAUUACUGGUUCUAAAAUCAUUAUCACUACCACUACCAUUAUCAUUAUCAUUCCUUGCUAAAAGUUAUAGGUGAAAAUAUUUCCCUUUAAUUUACAUUCCUCUGAAUAUUAAUGAGGUUGAGUUUUUUAAAAUGUUUAUGAUAGAACAAUGUAAAUCAACUAUAAUAGAAAAAAUAAAAACCUUAAAUCAA
rnacentral:lncRNA from 1 species